AGACAUGCCGCGACGCGGGUCAAAGUGUAGUAUCUGAUCGUAUCAGCGUAAUAUCCGAUACGGGUUGUAUUUGGAAUGAACGUAUUAAACUUAUUUUUACAAGUUGGCGGAUUGCUUAAAGCAGCUGCUUCACCGCUGCCACGAAUGGGCCCGGCAUUGCACUAUCUUCGGGAUCAGCCCGCCUUCU